rnacentral:tmRNA from 1 species
GGGGCCGACCUGGUUUCGACGUGGGUGCGGAAUCAGAGUAGGGCAUGCCGAGCACCAGUUCGCUCGUAAAUCCACUGGAAACAAAGUAACUGCGAACGACGAACGUUUCGCUCUCGCCGCUUAACACCGGUGAGCCUCUCAACGGUUGGCCGAUAGGCCGGGCCCGCAAGGGCUGAGAGGUCAUUCAUAUCGGCUGGUUCUGAGCCGGGUCACACGGUUCAGAACGAGAUCUAGUGACUGGCGUCGUUGGUAGCGUGCUCCUGCGCGACCGCGACGUGAGAAUCAAAUCAGUGAGCUAAGCAUGUAGAACUGCCUGAGGAUGGCUUGCGGACGCGGGUUCAAUUCCCGCCGGCUCCACCA